CAGCAGCCACGGGAAUACGAAGGGGGCUAGCGUUGCUCGGAAUGACUGGGCGUAAAGGGCGCGUAGGCGGUGGUAUCAGUCAGAUGUGAAAUUCCUGGGCUCAACCUGGGGACUGCAUUUGAGACGGUAUGACUAGAGUUCGGAAGAGGGUUGUGGAAUUCCCAGUGUAGAGGUGAAAUUCGUAGAUAUUGGGAAGAACACCGGUGGUGAAGGCGGCAACCUGGUCCGAGACUGACGCUGAGGCGCGAAAGCGUGGGGAGCAAACAGGAUUAGAUACCCCCGUAGUCCCUGUCUCUUAUAA
rnacentral:rRNA from 1 species